rnacentral:lncRNA from 10 species
ACGAAGCUCUGGGAUGCUGACCAGGGCUCUGGAAAAGGGAGAGGGGCCGGACCCGCAGCAGGUCACGCUGCAGGCCUGCCUCUCCGCAAUGAUCUCGCAACAAUCUGCGUCAGCUCUAAGACACAAGUCACCUGCACCCCUCCAAAGCGAAGCGUGGCCGGCCAGGCCCACACGUUUUUGCCGGGAAGAACAUAGAGUUCUCCCUCCUAAAUGGCUACAUAGUCCUCGCUGCGGCCUCAGCUCCGACUGGGUCAGGUUGCGGAGACUCCAGGCCGCUUCCAGGGCGGUGCGUACUGCGCCUGCGCGAUCUCUAGCCUAGGUGACAGAGCGAGACUCUAUCUCGAAAUAAUAAUAAUAAUUUAUGUGAAAGCACUUUGGAAACAUUAAAGCAGCAUCCCCAGCCUUUUUGUGGAAGAUAGUUUUUCCACAGAUGGUGGGCGAGGGGAUGGUUUUGUGAUGGAACUCUACCACCUCAGAUCAUCAGGCAUUAGAUUCUCAUAGGGAGUGGGCAACCUAGAUCCCUC